rnacentral:rRNA from 1 species
UCCCAGGUUAAGCCCGGGGAUUUCACAUCCAACUUAACAGACCGCCUGCGUGCGCUUUACGCCCAGUCAUUCCGAUUAACGCUUGCACCCUCCGUAUUACCGCGGCUGCUGGCACGGAGUUAGCCGGUGCUUCUUCUGCGGGUAACGUCAAUCGACAAGGUUAUUAACCUUAUCGCCUUCCUCCCCGCUGAAAGUGCUUUACAACCCGAAGGCCUUCUUCACACACGCGGCAUGGCUGCAUCAGGGUUUCCCCCAUUGUGCAAUAUUCCCCACUGCUGCCUCCCGUAGGAGACUGGACCGUGUCUCAGUUCCAGUGUGGCUGGUCAUCCUCUCAGACCAGCUAGGGAUCGUCGCCUAGGUGAGCCGUUACCUCACCUACUAGCUAAUCCCAUCUGGGUUCAUCCGAUGGCGUGAGGCCCGAAGGUCCCCCACUUUGGUCUUGCGACGUUAUGCGGUAUUAGC